rnacentral:rRNA from 1 species
AUUGAACGCUGGCGGCAGGCCUAACACAUGCAAGUCGAGCGAGCGGCGGACGGGUGAGUAAUGUAUGGGGACUGCCCGAUAGAGGGGGAUAACUACUGGAAACGGUGGCUAAUACCGCAUACUAUAGGAUAACCCAUAUGGGAUUAGGUAGUAGGUGGGGUAAAGGCUCACCGAGGCGACGAUCUCUAGCUGGUCUGAGAGGAUGAUCAGCCACACUGGGACUGAGCCACGGCCCAUCCUCCUACGGAUGCAGCAGUGGGGAAUAUUGCGCAAUGGGAGCAAGCCUGAUGCAGCCAGGCCGCGUGAAUGAAGAAGGCCUUAGGGUUGUAAAGUACUUUCAGCGGGGAGGCGUUACCCGCAGAAGAAGCACCGGCUAACUCCGUGCCAGCAGCCGCGGUAAUAC